AUUUCAAAGUUGUUUCUUAAUCUUAAUAUAAAAAACGCACCACUCAUCGGUGACGAAACCACUCGUAACAGUAGCGCUUCUCUCUGCUCGCCGAGUUUACCUCAACAACAAUAAUUCUUUCUUCAACUCAAUCGAAAUUUUCGCUUCCUUCAUUUCACAAUCAACGCUGGAUCGAUAAUCUCUGAUUAGGCUUUUUCCAUUCUUGUAAUUUUCCCCAAUUUGGUUUGAAUUUUUAGUAUUUACGUGUUUCGUGUUCCGAUUCAUGCGCUUAUGGAUACAAAUUCAUUGUUAUAUAGCUUGAUUCGCGCUUCAUUCAAUUUAAUCGGAUUUUUCUUCAUUGCAACAAUCAAUCAUCAUUACUCAGGGUUGGAGUAACGAAAGGAUUAUUUCUUCUCAUGAGAGUGGUAGAGUUAUUUUCUUGUUGGAUACUGAUCAAUCUUCUCAUAGCAACAAGGUUGAAGAAGUUGUGAAGAAGAUGGAAAUUGAGUUUGGAAGUGGAUGGAUAGCUCAUCAGCACUGUAAGGACGGUAAGGUGGAUAAUUUUCUAGCUCUGCUUCACCUCAAAAAACUUGCAUGGAAUUUUGAUUGUGGUGUUGAAUUGAUUUUAGUGCAAUAAAAGUGUAUGUUUCAAUUAGUUUUUAAGUUAUAUAAGUGUACAUGUUUGCAAAUGUUCAAUAAUGAACUGUUUAAAUUUAUGUAGAAAUUGUAUUCAUUUCAAAUAUGAAUUCAUUGUUAUUUUAUUUCUCUGAAUUCUCUAAGUUCAUAUUUCAUAUGUGAACAUGCAGCAUAACAUAAACUGAUAGACUAUCUUAUGUAAAUAUUUAUGUUCACUUUUGGAAGUUAUGAUUUGUUAGUUUUAGCAAACUUAAGAGAUAUUCACAGUAUGGUUUGAUCCAUGACUUUCAGGCUCCAGAUUGAUAUCAAUUCAUCCCUAUAUUUCUGUGAGAACUAUUGGAUGUACAUGUGAGUUAAAUGCUCUAUAUAGAUGUUGAACAAAUAAAUAUAUCGCACUUUUAUUUUACAUGUAUAUAAUGCUAUUCAUUAUGAAGCGGUAUUACUAGUGUAACCUUAAUUAUAGAUUCUUAAUUUGCAAUAAUGUUGUGUUUGGUCUUUACACUUCUCUUAUUGUGCACAUUCAUUGAGUUUUUGGACUGGUUAUUUCAGUAUGAAAGGACUGGUUCUUGAUUUGAUUAUGUUUUUUCCAUGUUAUUGUACUUGUGUGUGCAACUCCAGAUGUUAAUUUCAUCUCUAUAUUCAUGAAAACUAAAACUAUUAGCUCUUAUUUUUUGCUAUGUUGUUUUUGAAGCUGAAACUUUUAAGCAUUGAAUUAAGUGAGCUUAGAUUUGAGCACCUAAGCUGUCUUAUUAAUUUUAUUUAUAUUGCAGCUUUUAAAAUUCAAAUUUUAUGCAACAAAAAAUUAAUAAUUCAAAUAUCAUGUACUAUUUCCAUUUGUAAGCUGAAUCCCAAAAUCCUUUUAACACCAUAACUAUUUUCUUUGACCUGAAGAUAUUAAAUUUUAUAUGUCAGGACACACAUAACCAAGCUGGUAUUGCACACACUGGCGGCUUAAUGCCAUUGCUGAAUCUUCUUGACUCAAAAAACGGGUCUUUGCAACAUCAUGCUGCUUUUGCUCUUUAUGGCCUUGCUGAGAAUCAGGUAAGAUGAACUAUAAGAACUCUAAUGAUAAAGAUAUUAUGUGAUAGAAAAUUUAUUACUGAAAACCAAAUUUAAUAGUAUCUUACUUUGUGCUAUAGGAUAAUGUGCCCGACUUUAUUAGAGUAGGUGGAAUUAAGAGACUCCAGGAUGGAGAUUUUACUGACAAUUAUUUGUAGGUUAUGUUGGUGUUUGAAUUUUUAAACUCAACCAUAUACUCAGGGUCUACUGGAAGUGAAUCAACCUAGUUUGACAAGUUACAAAAGUUCCUUGAUAAGCGUAGCUUAUUGUUUUGCAGAAGUCUCUUCAAAGCUUUAUUAACCAAUGCUAAUCUUUAAGUUUGUUUUGUUCAUUUUGUAUUUUGAAUUGCAAUUAUAUGUAAACUAUCUAAUACUAUUGGAAUUAUAUGCAUGUUUUUGAGUAAUUUGGAUGGAUGGUCACCAUAAGCCAAUUUUAUGUAAUGGAUAAACUAACUCAUGAGGGAUCCAAACUUUAUUGAUCCCUUGCUUGGUAACAACUAUGACUUACAUUCAAUUUGGAAGCAAUGCAUGAAUCAAAUCCCAUGACCAACACACCGAUUCAAAUUUGGUUGAGAUAUUGAAAGCAAAAACUAGCAAAGGCAAUGCAAAGAAGAGGUUGAAGAAUAUGAAUACAUGGAAGCUCAAGUCUCUUUAUAUAUGCCUUUGGAGGUUAAGAACUUGGAUGGUUCUUUGUAUAAUCCUACUAAUUUUUUCAUGUAUGCCUUUGACUUUUAUAUUAUUCUUUACUUUCAACAUGCAUAUCAGCUAAUGAAAAUUAAUAUAGGGAAGCUAAUAUGUUGGGGUUCGAUAAUGGAUUAAGAACCUAAAAGAUGGAGGUUUCUAGGAAUAAAUUGAGACAAAGCUAAAUUUCUAGGAACCAGCAUUGUAAAAAGUUCAAUUUUUAUGGUUUGAGUUGAAUGUGUAAGGUUGUGGGAGCAUUCCUUGUAUAGUUGUUGUAAGAGUUCAAGUUUUAUUAUCCUUCAAGUCUUCAACUAUUGUAUGUUCACUAUUUAGAUUUGUGAGAUAUUUUUGUUUUGAGAAUUUGGAUGUAAAUGUUUCAAGAACGUAGUAUAUGUACUAAAACCACUUAUGGUGUAUAUGAAUCAAAUUUUUGUAUUUUGUUGAUUAUCAAA